rnacentral:rRNA from 1 species
CACGGGGGGAGCAAGCGUUGUUCGGAAUCACUGGGCGUAAAGGGCGUCUAGGCGGUCAGGUAAGUGGGAUGUGAAAUGCCCCGGCUCACCCGGGGGAGCGGCAUCCCCAUACUGCUUGGCUUGAGUACGGGAGAGGAUGUGGGAAUUCCUGGUGUAGCGGUGAAAUGCGUAGAUAUCAGGAGGAACACCGGUGGCGAAGGCGGGUCUCUGGGCAGUAACUGACGUGAGGAGCGAAAGCGUGGGGGAGCGAAACAGGG